ACCAAGCAGGCAGGAAAGUGGGGGUGUCAGGGCAGAAAGGGACGGCAGUGGGAAAGCCUUGGGCUGGGCAGUCGGAGAACUUGCCGACAACACCGACUUGUUGGGAGAGUCUAAGAAUGUGGCGGUCAUUCCAGCCAUGAGGGAAAUGCCUGGAGAAUUCUGGAGAUGCAGACCCAAUGUCCUGAUAUGGGAGGGAUGAUGAAUCAACCCUAAAUUGCCUACCUCUAGACAUCUUGUUAAAGAAUGUUCUUAUAAGGAUUCCUAUCAUGCGAAGCUGCAGGCAGCUUCACUGCAAUUAUGUGAAAAUGCAUCCAUCAUCAUCCAGAGAGGGGGCAGGUCUUGAAGAGGAUUGGACUUGGAGCAGCCACACUCACU